UACGAAGGUGGCAAGCGUUACUCGGAAUUACUAGGCGUAAAGGGCAGGUAGGUGGUUUGAUAAGUCUGUUGUGUAAGCUCCUGGCUUAACUGGGAGAGGUCAACGGAAACUAUCAGGCUGGAGUAUGGGAGAGGGUACUGGAAUUCCCGGUGUAGCGGUGAAAUGCGCAGAGAUCGGGAGGAACACCAAAGGCGAAAGCAGGUACCUGGACCAUUACUGACACUCAGCUGCGAAAGCUAGGGGAGCAAACAGG
rnacentral:rRNA from 1 species